UACGAAGGGGGCUAGCGUUGCUCGGAAUCACUGGGCGUAAAGGGUGCGUAGGCGGGUCUUUUAAGUCAGGGGUGAAAUCCUGGAGCUCAACUCCAGAACUGCCUUUGAUACUGAGGAUCUUGAGUACGGGAGAGGUGAGUGGAACUGCGAGUGUAGAGGUGAAAUUCGUAGAUAUUCGCAAGAACACCAGUGGCGAAGGCGGCUCACUGGCCCGAUACUGACGCUGAGGCACGAAAGCGUGGGGAGCAAACAGG
rnacentral:rRNA from 1 species